CACAGCCUUGCUGAGUGCAAACUACUUUCCUGCUGGAAAGAACACUUCUUGCUGACUUCUUUUCCAAAGGAAUUCUUUCAAAGAUUAAAAACAAUCUAGGCACUUUCACUUGUAGUCCUAGCCAAGUGGAACAAGUGGAAUAAAACCUUUAUGAGAAAAUUAUAUGCCUAUGUAAUUAUAAUUAUUACAUUUAUGUGCGAGGGCUUGCUAAAGUGAAACAUAAAAGUGAGAUUACUAGCUCAUUCCAUUUCUUACUUGGGCAUUUAAAGUGUGCUAGCAUUUUUAAAAGAUUCAUUUUUUAAAAUCUUAUGUCUAAAACAGUUUGAGGUCUUAACAAAUGGAGGAGAAAUGAGUAUACAGCAUUGGCAAAGUGUGGUGUCAUACCCUUCUCCAGAACAACCUUAAACAUUUUUUUAGUAGUCAAAAACUAAAUCUGUGGAAUUAAUUUAUGAUAAUGACCAUACAAAUUAUAGAACUGCAUUACUAUAACAGAAUCUGAAAAAAGUUUUUAGAAGUGCCAUAGUCAUUUAAUGGGGAAUAAAGAUGCCAAUUUCAGGGUUGACAUUUAAAUUGUUGUUGCCUAAAAUAGUCUGUUGUGAAGGAGACAAUUUAAAAGAUAAACUCAAGCUUUAAUGUGUUCAGGACGGUAAUUAUACUCUAAGAAUUGGUUUACUUUGAGCACAGGUUGCUAAAAUGAAUCAGUGGGAAUAAGUAACAAUUGGAUGUUUAUUAGAAAGAAUUGCGCUGAUCAAGUUCAGGUAAUUUUGAAUCAACCAAGUCUGGAUGAUGGUGGUAUGUUUUUGGAAUGUGUAGGCCAUGUCCAAAGCCAUCAGUAACUACGGGAAAGGUAAUACACAGUAAUAACCAAAAUUCAUUGUAGUUCAAAAUAUAUCAUGUUCAAAACAGUCUGAAUAAAAAACAUACACCAUUCAUUUAGAGCAACCAUUUUAAAGGCAUUGUAUUUACAGCAAUGUCAUUACACUGACAUCUGUUAAAUAUAUGCAGGUCUGCCAUCUUAUGGAGCCUGAAUGGUACUACCAAAUAACAGAAUGUGGAACUACGUGUUCAAAUCAGGAGAAUAGUUUGCAUUUUCUCCUUUUCAGGCAAGAGAAAACUGGGUCUCAUGUAGAUACAGACAAUAGGAGAGUCAGACAGUUGAAGUGGUUUUCUGAGGACUUAGAAAUAAUUUCAGAACUGAGGAAGCGAUCUGAAAGCAGCUGUAAUUCCGUCUGUGUGGCAUCAGAAACGCUGGAAGGAGGACUUUUAGGAUACAGCUGCCUACAGAAAGUCUGGGAGCUAGAGGAGAGCUUGUUGGGUCAGAUAUCCAAACUGGAUCCCUGCAUGUGUAUCAUAUUCGUCUGACCUGCGAGGCCACCCACAGACCCAUGUGCUACGGAUCGUUUCAGCUGUCCCCACAUGAAGUCAGCUGCAGCUGGCCCAAGGCCCGGCUGGAUUUGAUCUGUUUCAGAGGGAAGCAGUGAGGUGUGACUGUGGCACGCUGUUUGUUGCUCUUCAGUCUGGGACCAUGCAGUGGAGAAGUUACAGCUGUUCCUUUGCAGGGGCAACUUUGCUCCUUCAACUGAAUUUAUUCUCUCCAGCUUUGUCCUGCGUGGUGGUGACUGUAGUUUCCAGACCAGGGAGAGUCUUGAAGGCGACAUUUGUACAGUGCUGGGCCUUAGCUAGUAACUGCUGGAUGUGAGAUGGUUUUACAUUUGUGGCAUAGAUAAUCUGCAACACGAAUAAUCUAAUCAUAGAUAAUUGAGAAUUGGUGCCAUGGUUGUUACAAGCCUGUUUUAGCUUCUGAUCCUGCGCAGGCUGUUAUUUUACUGCCGUUCAAGGAGCAGUAUCGGCUUGAGGUAUUCCCGCUUUCCUUUUUUGUUCUCUCUUCUGUCUGUGGCAUGCCACCCAUUCAGUUGUACGAGCACACCUUGUCAAAACAAUGUUUUUUUUAGAAUCAGCUCCCUGGCUUAGUGCUGACUUUUUAAUGAGCCGUACUUAAGAAGCCCAACAAAUAGCUUUGCUGGCACCAAUGAGGAGCAGAGGGGGUAUUAGGAAGCUUUAAGCUACUGUUACCAUUUUUUAUUGUGAAACAGUAGCCACAGGGCAGCUAUACUCCUCUAAUUCCGCUAAUAGCUCUAAUAGCUAUACGAUUGUAAAUUAGGAGUAAUCUCAAGUAAAAGCAAUACUUCCAUGAUCAUCGACUGUGUUUGCUCUGAGAAGGUGAAAUGUUGAAAAAUGGUGGGAGGUUAAGUGGAGAUUUGAGGGGAGGCUUUUUCUUCCUUGCAAAGAAAAUAAUUUAGGAAUGGCAUUAAUGAAUAGAACAAUUUCAUUUUAGCACAUGAAAACUAUAAUCUCUUUGUUUUAGUACUUAAUCAUCAUUUAGAAUACUGCAGGGCUGCAAAAUUACAAACCACACAAAGUACCCUGUACAAACUAAGUGGCUUCACCAAGACACAUAAGGCUGUGCGCUUCAUGGCUUGUUGGGAAUGGAAAACAGCAGAGCCUUUAGGGAGGCAUAGGGACCUUUGUCAGUGCCUUCUAUGAGGAAAAAAAUGAAAUGGCCUCAGGGGCCUCUUUGUCCCACAGUCAUAGUGUCAGAAGGCUAGAAAUUGCAGAGAAAUCCCUGGUUGUCCUUGCUGUCGCCUCCUCUUGAUCCACUGUGCUUGUAGGAGAAUAAAAUGGUGUUUGGAGGGAGGAUGAGGGGAAGAAGAUAAUUUCAGAAAUCAGUUCUAGCAGUGCCAUAUUUAACUGUGAUUUUCUUUGAGAGGAUGAGAUCCUUUUGUGCUGAAAAUUUCAUUGAAAGUGAAAGAAAUCCAGACAAAGGGAAUAAAUGCAGAGCAGGCACUUUGCCAAGGAGCAAAGAAAUUCCCUUGACAAACAGAGGAACUGAUGACUGUCGAGCUGUUUCCCAGACAGGGAAGAGAGAUGUCAGAAUCUGCCUCUGGAGACAUCUCCCACCCAAUCUGGCUAUCAAAACACAGCUGGCAACCCUGAGGAAAGAGAUCCCCAAGCAACAGAGAUCACCUAAAAAGACAGUAUUUCUCCUGACCUGAGAAGGACAAAUUCUAUUACUCUGCUGGGCUACAGCUAUUAGUUUACAAAUGGCAUUCAGCAGCUCUCAUUUUCUAACUGUAGUCCUUCCUAUCACUUUCCUCCUUCCCAUUCCUCCUCAUUUAGUUUCUCCCUGCCCCCACAGCUUGUCCGUGUUUCCAACAACUCACUGGAUAUGUUAUGCUGAUCGUCAGGCUUGUCUGCAACUGCCAAUCCUAUUAAUUUACCUUUUUCAUACUGUUAUUUACUGAGUAGUAAUACAAAGUAAUUACUUCCAGCAGCUGAAGAAAAACCCUGAUCUUAGUGUUUUAAGAUAGAACGUUUUCUAGUCUACAUCUUAAACUCCUCAGGGUUCAUAUUCAGUGUUACUAGUGUUACUCUAGCACAGUCUGGCCUCCAAUGAUGAUUACGGCUAUUCAAGCACUUCUGUAAUGCAAAAACAUUGGUAAUUUUUUUCCUUUCCGCUAUGUUGCUACCGAUUUGUUUACUAACAAAUUUGGGAUACCAACUCACAAACCCAAGGUACAGUUUUUCUAUAAACUUAGAUGAACCUGGCAGAGAAUGCUGUACAGCUCUUCCCAGACAAGCACUUCUCUGACAGUGUUUAGAGAUUCCACGGUUCAUACGAGGCUACAUAACUUGCCGUGCAUCUGCCAGCAGCCCUAACAUAGUUUGAGGUGGAGUGCAGCUUCUCUGUUUCACUGUGCAGGUGCCAGACAGUUUUUAUUUAAGCAGACAGUGUGCUUUCUUUGUUAGAAUGGCAAUGUGCUUAGCUCUAAAGUACUUGAAACUAAAACUCACUGGUGCCCUUCUGGUAGCAAAGGUGGUAUAGUAUUGUUUUAAUGUUAUUUGGAUGUAAGGAUUUUGAACAGUCCUAAAUAUCAGGAACCAAACAUUGUGAUUCCUGGAAAAAACACUGCUUCCAGCACAACGUUUGUCUGCCGUGGUUGUCUGUGCUGUAAAGAUUAAUGAAGUUGUUCUGGAUAUACGGUCAGGAGCAAAAUAACCUAUGAAGAAAAGAUCAACAAUGAAAAUCAACAACUGAUGGGCAACACGAUAUGGAUCUUUAAAGAUCAUCUAGAUGAGAAAUGGGGCUUUCUGCAUAUGCUCUUUUCUCACCUAUGUGAAUAAUAAUUACUGUAGGUUUACCACUUCA